rnacentral:rRNA from 1 species
ACGCGUCGUAAGCACACCUCUAAAAGUAUAAGUAUGCACUUAUGACAAACUAUAUACGUCAGGUCAAAGUGCAGCUUAUGGGAGGGCGACGAUGGGUUACACCCUUAAUAUAGAUACGAAAUACAGCACCAAAAGCUAUACGAAGGUGGACUUGGACGUAAUAAAGAUACAAAACCAAAAUGAAGACGAAUCUGAGACAUGCACACAUCGCCCGUCACUCUUGCCCAAAGGUGAGAUAAGUCGUAACAAAGUAGGUGUAACGGAAGUUGCACCUGU